UACGUAGGUGGCGAGCGUUGUUCGGAAUUACUGGGCGUAAAGGGCGCGUAGGCGGCCCGCUAAGUCGAACGUGAAAUCCCCGGGCUCAACCCGGGAACUGCGUCCGAUACUGGCAGGCUUGAAUCCGGGAGAGGGAUGUGGAAUUCCAGGUGUAGCGGUGAAAUGCGUAGAUAUCUGGAGGAACACCGGUGGCGAAGGCGGCAUCCUGGACCGGUAUUGACGCUGAGGCGCGAAAGCCAGGGGAGCAAACGGG
rnacentral:rRNA from 1 species